rnacentral:misc_RNA from 1 species
GAUGAAGAACGCAGCGAAAUGCGAUACGUAGUGUGAAUUGCAGAAUUCAGUGAAUCAUCGAAUCUUUGAACGCACAUUGCACCUCUCGGUAUUCCGGGAGGUAUGCCUGUUCGAGCGUCAUUUGUACCCUCAAGCUCUGCUUGGUGUUGGGUGUUUGUUCCGCCUCUGUGUGUGAACUCGCCUCAAAACAAUUGGCAGCCGGCGUACUUGUUUCGGAGCGCAGCACAUUUUGCGAUCCAGAUCAACGUACAGCGGCAUCCAAGAAGCCUUAUUUAACGCUCUUGACCUCGGAUCAGGUAGGGAUACCCGCUGAACUUAAGCAUAUCAAUAAGCGGAGA